GGCCUCGUGGCCCAAUGGCAAGGCGUCUGACUACGAUUGGAGAAGAUGGUUUCGUCUAACCCCACGUUAUCAGGAGAUUCUGGGUUCGACCCCCAGCGAGGUCA